UUAAGCGACUAAGCGUACACGGUGGAUGCCCUGGCAGUCAGAGGCGAUGAAGGACGUGCUAAUCUGCGAUAAGCGUCGGUAAGGUGAUAUGAACCGUUAUAACCGGCGAUUUCCGAAUGGGGAAACCCAGUGUGAUUCGUCACACUAUCAUUAACUGAAUCCAUAGGUUAAUGAGGCGAACCGGGGGAACUGAAACAUCUAAGUACCACGAGGAAAAGAAAUCAACCGAGAUUCCCCCAGUAGCGGCGAGCGAACGGGGAGCAGCCCAGAGCCUGAAUCAGUGUGUGUGUUAGUGGAAGCGUCUGGAAAGGCGCGCGAUACAGGGUGACAGCCCCGUACACAAAAAUGCACAUGCUGUGAGCUCGAUGAGUAGGGCGGGACACGUGGUAUCCUGUCUGAAUAUGGGGGGACCAUCCUCCAAGGCUAAAUACUCCUGACUGACCGAUAGUGAACCAGUACCGUGAGGGAAAGGCGAAAAGAACCCCGGCGAGGGGAGUGAAAAAGAACCUGAAACCGUGUACGUACAAGCAGUGGGAGCACGCUUAGGCGUGUGACUGCGUACCUUUUGUAUAAUGGGUCAGCGACUUAUAUUCUGUAGCAAGGUUAACCGAAUAGGGGAGCCGAAGGGAAACCGAGUCUUAACUGGGCGUUAAGUUGCAGGGUAUAGACCCGAAACCCGGUGAUCUAGCCAUGGGCAGGUUGAAGGUUGGGUAACACUAACUGGAGGACCGAACCGACUAAUGUUGAAAAAUUAGCGGAUGACUUGUGGCUGGGGGUGAAAGGCCAAUCAAACCGGGAGAUAGCUGGUCCUCCCCGAAAGCUAUUUAGGUAGCGCCUCGUGAAUUCAUCUCCGGGGGUAGAGCACUGUUUCGGCAAGGGGGUCAUCCCGACUUACCAACCCGAUGCAAACUGCGAAUACCGGAGAAUGUUAUCACGGGAGACACACGGCGGGUGCUAACGUCCGUCGUGAAGAGGGAAACAACCCAGACCGCCAGCUAAGGUCCCAAAGUCAUGGUUAAGUGGGAAACGAUGUGGGAAGGCCCAGACAGCCAGGAUGUUGGCUUAGAAGCAGCCAUCAUUUAAAGAAAGCGUAAUAGCUCACUGGUCGAGUCGGCCUGCGCGGAAGAUGUAACGGGGCUAAACCAUGCACCGAAGCUGCGGCAGCGACGCUGAUGCGUUGUUGGGUAGGGGAGCGUUCUGUAAGCCUGUGAAGGUGUACUGUGAGGUAUGCUGGAGGUAUCAGAAGUGCGAAUGCUGACAUAAGUAACGAUAAAGCGGGUGAAAAGCCCGCUCGCCGGAAGACCAAGGGUUCCUGUCCAACGUUAAUCGGGGCAGGGUGAGUCGACCCCUAAGGCGAGGCCGAAAGGCGUAGUCGAUGGGAAACAGGUUAAUAUUCCUGUACUUGGUGUUACUGCGAAGGGGGGACGGAGAAGGCUAUGUUGGCCGGGCGACGGUUGUCCCGGUUUAAGCGUGUAGGCUGGUUUUCCAGGCAAAUCCGGAAAAUCAAGGCUGAGGCGUGAUGACGAGGCACUACGGUGCUGAAGCAACAAAUGCCCUGCUUCCAGGAAAAGCCUCUAAGCAUCAGGUAACAUCAAAUCGUACCCCAAACCGACACAGGUGGUCAGGUAGAGAAUACCAAGGCGCUUGAGAGAACUCGGGUGAAGGAACUAGGCAAAAUGGUGCCGUAACUUCGGGAGAAGGCACGCUGAUAUGUAGGUGAAGUCCCUCGCGGAUGGAGCUGAAAUCAGUCGAAGAUACCAGCUGGCUGCAACUGUUUAUUAAAACACAGCACUGUGCAAACACGAAAGUGGACGUAUACGGUGUGACGCCUGCCCGGUGCCGGAAGGUUAAUUGAUGGGGUCAGCGCAAGCGAAGCUCUUGAUCGAAGCCCCGGUAAACGGCGGCCGUAACUAUAACGGUCCUAAGGUAGCGAAAUUCCUUGUCGGGUAAGUUCCGACCUGCACGAAUGGCGUAAUGAUGGCCAGGCUGUCUCCACCCGAGACUCAGUGAAAUUGAACUCGCUGUGAAGAUGCAGUGUACCCGCGGCAAGACGGAAAGACCCCGUGAACCUUUACUAUAGCUUGACACUGAACAUUGAGCCUUGAUGUGUAGGAUAGGUGGGAGGCUUGGAAGUGUGGACGCCAGUCUGCAUGGAGCCGACCUUGAAAUACCACCCUUUAAUGUUUGAUGUUCUAACGUUGACCCGUAAUCCGGGUUGCGGACAGUGUCUGGUGGGUAGUUUGACUGGGGCGGUCUCCUCCUAAAGAGUAACGGAGGAGCACGAAGGUUGGCUAAUCCUGGUCGGACAUCAGGAGGUUAGUGCAAUGGCAUAAGCCAGCUUGACUGCGAGCGUGACGGCGCGAGCAGGUGCGAAAGCAGGUCAUAGUGAUCCGGUGGUUCUGAAUGGAAGGGCCAUCGCUCAACGGAUAAAAGGUACUCCGGGGAUAACAGGCUGAUACCGCCCAAGAGUUCAUAUCGACGGCGGUGUUUGGCACCUCGAUGUCGGCUCAUCACAUCCUGGGGCUGAAGUAGGUCCCAAGGGUAUGGCUGUUCGCCAUUUAAAGUGGUACGCGAGCUGGGUUUAGAACGUCGUGAGACAGUUCGGUCCCUAUCUGCCGUGGGCGCUGGAGAACUGAGGGGGGCUGCUCCUAGUACGAGAGGACCGGAGUGGACGCAUCACUGGUGUUCGGGUUGUCAUGCCAAUGGCACUGCCCGGUAGCUAAAUGCGGAAGAGAUAAGUGCUGAAAGCAUCUAAGCACGAAACUUGCCCCGAGAUGAGUUCUCCCUGACUCCUUGAGAGUCCUGAAGGAACGUUGAAGACGACGACGUUGAUAGGCCGGGUGUGUAAGCGCAGCGAUGCGUUGAGCUAACCGGUACUAAUGAACCGUGAGGCUUAACCUU
rnacentral:rRNA from 1 species